rnacentral:rRNA from 1 species
AUUGAACGCUGGCGGCAGGCCUAACACAUGCAAGUCGGAAGAGUGGCGGACGGGUGAGUAAUGUCUGGGAAACUGCCCGAUGGAGGGGGAUAACUACUGGAAACGGUAGCUAAUACCGCAUACCAUCGGAUGUGCCCAGAUGGGAUUAGCUAGUAGGUGGGGUAACGGCUCACCUAGGCGUCGAUCCCUAGCUGGUCUGAGAGGAUGACCAGCCAAACUGGAACUGAUACACGGUCCAGACUCCUACGAGAGGCAGCAGUGGGGAAUAUUGCACAAUAGGCGCAAGCCUGAUGCAGCCAUGCCGCGUGUAUGAAGAAGGCCUUCGGGUUGUAGAGUACUUUCAGCGGGGAGGCGUUACCCGCAGAAGAAGCCCCGGCUAACUCCGUGCCAGCCACCGCGGUAAUUC